UCAAUUUUCCUGGUGUCGUUUGCUCCGUUCGUUUCCUUUGUCAUCUUGUGAUUGGCUGUUGAAGUUUUCAAACACUUUCCUGAUUGGUGCAUUCAUCACACACCCGCUGGAGGCUCUGACUGCUAUUUCCAAAAUUAGACACAACGACAGACGAUUUCCCACAUGUCGUGAACCAACCAGGUUUCCAUGACUCUGGCUGUGAUCGGGCGGCCCUCCCCGCCCAACAAAUGGCUAAAAACCGCGCAAUUUUUUUUCCGUGAACACUAGGCAGGUCUCACUUCUGGGUCUAGGGCUCGGCCAACGUUAAUCGAGUCGUUUUUUUGCUGCUCCGGUGGAUCCUUUUGGUAUUCGUGGCGGGUUGCCCCGUGUGUCCUACCCUUUUGUAAGAAAAACCACGUCAAAGUAUCCUGGCCAAUUUAUAUCUGAAAUAUGCAACGAAAGAAAGCCAAAUGAGUUGUGUCCUUUGAUCGUGCAUUUCGUUAGGAAUUGGGAAACGAUAAAGAAAAAGGAAAAUCAGGGAAAAUGGUGUAAACGGUAUCUGAAUAUAAGACGUUUUACCUACAAAUAAAGAAGACAGCGUGUGUUCGAGUACCUAACACCUAUGGGGCUAAUUUCAUGAUAUAUUACACCCCUUUGAACACCACAUCGCUGAAACAGAGAUAACUCACGAGAGACUUAGGAAGCGGAAAAUUUAACUCUGGUAUGGAGAAACAUGUUUUAUGAAAUUUCAACGCAGAACGAAUUGUUCUGCGGCUCAGUUGUUUCAAGGUGUUGACUUCUUUUGUUUCAAAAUCCGUGGAAAACCCUGCCGCAUUCAGCGCUGAGAGUGCAAACGUAUGAGCAGCUGUAAUUUGAUUUGUAUCCACAGCACGGAAUGCUCUCAUCACAAUGCUAUCGUCUGGAACAUAUCCAAGAUGAAGUAUAUGUUGAAAGGCCUUGGGAUUAAAUCGUAACGCAAGAUGCAUCACUUCACCCAACUCCUUUGGUCUAGAAUACAAACAAUCAACUGUCAAA